GGCAGAGAACGUGGAUUUCCCCAGAACGUGAUUGUAGACGGCUGGUGUGAGUUCGGGAAUAAAGAGUUGCUGUUUGAAUCUACAAGCUGUGUGGUGGCUCGUGAUUGUGUGCCCAGCCAGACUGCGGCAUUUGUGCCCAGCCAGACUGUGGCAUUUGGCGUCCCGUGCGGGGAACUUCUGAAUCUUAGAGGUAAGUGAAAUUUCUCACCCUUGAGGAAGAGAGAAAGAAUGGGUGAACAUUUCAAAAAACAAUGUGUUAUUGUUUUGAUUUAUUUUAUUUUUAUUUCAAGUUGCCUGUUCCUAGAACUUUCUCAGGCAAACUGGGGAAAAUGGUUGACUCAAGGUUUGAAGUUGUUCGCCUCCGAGCAAGAGAAAUUGUUAGAGGAAGGAGGCACCCCAGUGAGACCNGUGACCUUGCUCAAGGACCAAGGCAGAUUAGGGUGUUCCCGGUUUUAAGAUAAUCGUGUUUAGGGCGUUCCCAGUUUAGGUUCCAGGUUUAAGGUUUAAGAUUAUUCCUGCUGGGAAUAGGGCA
rnacentral:lncRNA from 1 species